UUGACCUCGGAUCAGGUAGGAAUACCCGCUGAACUUAAGCAGUAAGA
rnacentral:rRNA from 1 species